rnacentral:rRNA from 1 species
UACGUAGGCAGCAAGCGUUGUUCGGAUUUACUGGGCGUAAAGAGUGCGUAGGCGGUGUCGCAAGUUCUGUGUGAAAUCUCCCGGCUUAACUGGGAGGGGGCGCCGAAAACUGCGAUGCUGGAGUGUGGGAAAGGCAAGCGGAAUUCCUGGUGUAGCGGUGAAAUGCGCAGAUAUCAGGAAGAACACCCGUGGCGAAAGCGGCUCUCUGGAACGGUACUGACGCUGAGACGCGAAAGCGUGGGGAGCGAACAGG